GAGCGGCGAACGGGUGAGUAACACGUGAGUAACCUGCCCUAGGCUUUGGGAUAACCCUCGGAAACGGGGGCUAAUACCGAAUAUUCAUUUCUGACGGCAUCGUCGGGUGUGGAAAGUUUUUCGGCCUGGGAUGGGCUCGCGGCCUAUCAGCUUGUUGGUGGGGUGAUGGCCUACCAAGGCGACGACGGGUAGCCGGCCUGAGAGGGCGACCGGCCACACUGGGACUGAGACACGGCCCAGACUCCUACGGGAGGCAGCAGUGGGGAAUAUUGCACAAUGGGCGGAAGCCUGAUGCAGCGACGCCGCGUGAGGGAUGAAGGCCUUCGGGUUGUAAACCUCUUUCGACAGGGACGAAGCGCAAGUGACGGUACCUGGAGAAGAAGCGCCGGCCAACUACGUGCCAGCAGCCGCGGUAAGACGUAGGGCGCGAGCGUUGUCCGGAUUUAUUGGGCGUAAAGAGCUCGUAGGCGGCUUGUUGCGUCAGCUGUGAAAACCCGCAGCUCAACUGUGGGCUUGCAGCUGAUACGGNCCGGCUUGAGUUCGGUAGGGGAGACUGGAAUUNCU
rnacentral:rRNA from 1 species